rnacentral:rRNA from 1 species
UACGGAGGGUGCAAGCGUUAAUCGGAAUUACUGGGCGUAAAGCGCACGCAGGUGGCUGAGAAAGUCGAUUGUGAAAGCCCUGGCUUAACCUGGGAAUUGCAGUCGAAACUACUCAGCUAGAGUAUGGGAGAGGACAGUGGAAUUCCCGGUGUAGCGGUGAAAUGCGUAGAUAUCGGGAGGAACAUCAGUGGCGAAGGCGGCUGUCUGGCCCAAUACUGACACUCAGGUGCGACGAGCGUGGGGAGC